GAUGAAGAACGCAGCGAAAUGCGAUAAGUAAUGUGAAUUGCAGAAUUCAGUGAAUCAUCGAAUCUUUGAACGCACAUUGCGCCCGCUGGUAUUCCGGCGGGCAUGCCUGUUCGAGCGUCAUUUCAACCCUCAAGCCCCCGGGUUUGGUGUUGGGGAUCGGCUCUGCCUUACGGCGGUGCCGCCCCCGAAAUACAUUGGCGGUCUCGCUGCAGCCUCCAUUGCGUAGUAGCUAACACCUCGCAACUGGAACGCGGCGCGGCCAUGCCGUAAAACCCCAACUUCUGAAUGUUGACCUCGGAUCAGGUAGGAAUACCCGCUGAACUUAAGCAUAUCAAUAAGCGGAGGA
rnacentral:misc_RNA from 1 species